rnacentral:rRNA from 1 species
AUAUUGGACAAUGGGCGAAAGCCUGAUCCAGCAACGCCGCGUGCGCGAUGACGGCCUUCGGGUUGUAAAGCGCUUUUAGAGGAGAUGAGAAAGGACAGUAUCCUCAGAAUAAGCCUCGGCGAACUACGUGCCAGCAGCCGCGGUAAAACGUAGGAGGCUAGCGUUAUCCGGAUUUAUUGGGCGUAAAGCGCGUGCAGGCGGUUUGAUAAGUUGGAUGUGAAAUCUCCCGGCUUAACUGGGAGCGGUCGUUCAAAACUAUCAGACUAGAGAAUGGGGGAGGAAGGUGGAAUUCCGGGUGUAGUGGUGAAAUGCGUAGAU